GAUCUGAGAGAUCUGAUUAUGACAUGGGUCUUUUCUAACAUUCUAGAAAAGAACAGUAAGUGUACAGAGAAGCAACAGAACAAAAGGGAGGUAUUUUGGCUUCUAUGGUUAGCAAAUUACAAGGAAAUAUAUGGGUGAAAAGACUUACUUUAGCGCGGAUUCUUGUGCCUUCUUUGGUCUGAUGAUUAAGGGCCUCUAAGACUUUUCUCAAAUAGCCAGGAGUAUUACCUUAAAAAUGGGAAUUUAUAUACUGGCGUGUAUAGAAGGCUUUGGGGGCACCAUCUGCUAUUACUCAGUUGCUUUAACUAAGCAUAACCUUUCUGCUAACAUGGAGUUUUCUCAGAGAUAUAUCCCAAUCUCCUAGCACCUUGAGUCGGGAUAUGCUCUUGAAUAAGUGGUGAUAUUCAAUUAGUUGCUAUUCAUACUAAAAUAAAUCAAGAGACAGAAGAAAGGGCAGUUUCAAGUAAAGAAUGUGCUGAGGGUACAAGAGAUGCAUGUGGCUCAUUUCAGAAUUAGGUUCAGAAGAGCAGCAUAGCAGAACUUCAAGCUUGCUCGUGAAAGGAAAAGGAAAUGAGAUCCAAACGUGUAGAGCUAUCUCCAAAUACAGGCUGCUCUUCUGUUUCUCAGGCAGGAGUUUGUUGGCUAUGUGAAUGGCAAACAGACCUCUCCUUGCCAUUAACACAGGCCUCAAGAACUGUGUUCUGUGUCCUUUAUAACUUUUAUGUGUCUUAUAAAGAAUGUUCUCCAGUGGUUGAAGGGAAACAUGGGUUAUCUCUGCCAGAACAUAGCUUGGAAGUCUACACACCAGAAGACUUCAACAUAAUAUCUUAAGACUUGUUUCCAAGGAUUUCUGAGAUGCAAAUCUCAAUCUGGUUACCUGAGCAUCAGAGAAAAGAUGGGCAUCUUAGGUACCACCACCAGAGAAGCUUUCAGGAUCCCUGUGCUGCUUGUGAUAAAAACUCUACUGUUUGUGGACAGAGGAUAACUUCUAGCAUUUGAAGAAAAUGCCAAUGUGAUUGGUGCAUGAAGCCUUGUUAAUGGUAGUAAAAAAAUACGCACUGAGUGUA
rnacentral:sRNA from 1 species